CUCCCCUCACGUUAUGGGGUUGCUUAAAUUGAAGUCGCUACUGAACCUGCAGCACAUGGACCCUCUGGGCCCCCGUAACUGACUGUAAGACACGCCCCCUGAUAAACUUCCUCACCCGCACGGAAAGGCUUUGGUUACUGGAGGAACCACAGGACCCGCCUCCCACUAACCGCGAAUCCUACUGUGACUGACAGCUGCCUCCGCCAAUGGCUACUUGAAUAAAUCACUUUACAAUGACAGGCGUCUGACACAGGAACAUUGCCUCGGACCCUGCUCGUGACAUUGGCACCGAUUCAGCCCUGUGAGUUCGGAUGUAGCCUAUUAUUUGCCUUCUUUCCGUAUAACGAGGUCCGCAUACGACUGAGGCUGGAAAGGGGCGUCUCCUUUUCACCGGAACUACAUUUCCCACACUGCCUCGCGCAGUGACGUCAUUGACACGUUGUGCCGGAAGCGGAGCCGGUAGGAGACAAAGUUGCAGGUCACAGAGUCUCUAUGGAGGGAAAGCGCAUCCUGGUAACUGGGGGCUCAGGCCUGGUGGGCAAAGCCAUAGAGAAGGUGGUGGCAGAUGGAGAGGGGCGACCAGACGAGCAGUGGAUUUUCAUUAGCUCCAAAGAUGCCGACUUGACGAAUGCGGCCGACACCAAAUGUCUGUUUGAGAAGCACAAACCCACUCAUGUUAUUCACUUGGCGGCUAUGGUGGGGGGGCUGUUCCGGAACAUGAAGUACAACCUGGAUUUCCUGAGAAACAACCUGCACAUCAAUGACAAUGUCCUGCAUUCUGCCUACGAAAUGGGGGUCCAGAAGGUGGUGUCGUGCCUUUCUACCUGCAUCUUCCCAGACAAGACCACCUAUCCUAUCGAUGAGACCAUGAUCCACAACGGCCCCCCCCACACCUCUAACUUUGGCUAUUCCUAUGCAAAGAGAAUGAUCGAUGUGCAGAACAGAGCUUACUAUGAACAGCACGGCUGUAAGUUCACCUCCGUCAUUCCCACCAACGUCUUCGGCCCACACGAUAAUUUCAAUAUUGACGAUGGGCAUGUCCUGCCGGGGCUCAUCCACAAAGUCUACUCGGCCAAGCAGAAUGGCACUGCUCUCUCUAUCUGGGGCACGGGGCAACCACGGAGACAGUUCAUCUAUUCACUGGAUCUUGCAAGGCUUUUCAUUUGGGUGCUGAGGGAGUACAAUGAGGUUGACCCCAUUAUUCUUUCUGUUGGAGAGGAGGAUGAGGUGUCCAUCAAGGAAGCAGCCGAGAGCAUCGUAGCAGCCAUGGAGUUUAAGGGAGAGCUGAUUUUCGACAGCACAAAGUCUGAUGGGCAGUUCAAGAAGACUGCGAGUAACCACAAGCUCAGGAAAUACCUGCCGGACUUUCAGUUCACCCCCUUCAAUAAAGUAUUUUCAGUUACCUGCUUGGAGUGGUUUGGUUCCUGGGCCUGGCAUUCCACCCUUUCACCCUGCGCUCCUAUAUCUCCCACAAUUCCAUGGGAUCUACUAUGGUGGAGGAGCAGUUUGUGUCGGGGGAGAGAGCCGUCUCCUACACCCGGGAGUUUGCAGCUCACAAAAAGUCAGCUGGAUGGUGAAAGGUACUAAUGUGUAUGGAAUAUUGAGAGCUCCACGUGCUGCCAGUACAGAGUCUUUGCUUCUGAGUGUUCCUUGUAGUGAAGGACAGAACAAUAACCAGGCUGUUGGCCUUCUCUUGGCACUGGCCUCGUACUUCAGAGGUGAGAGAUCCACUAAAUCCACUGGCUACAAACAGAUCAGUGGAACGGUCCCUCCCUGAAGCCAUUUUUCUGCUCGCCAUUGAUAUGACAUGGUAUGUUGAGUGAUCUUUCUGAUUGUGUGCUCAAAGGGAAGAUCUACUGGGCUAAGGAUCUCAUCUUCCUGGUGAAUGAACACGAUCUGCUUGGGAUGGAGGCCUGGCUGGAAGGUUACCAUGAUGUGAAUGUGACAGAUUUAUUUAUCAUUGUGUUGGAUGAAGUGCAUUGUGCUCCUGCUGGUUUGCUUCUCUAUCGGAUGGGUUCACUCCAAACGCACAAAAAAAGGUAGGACAACCCUCUUGGUUUCACAUUAGGUUCUCAUUUUUACUUUCAUAGCUCUAUGCAGAAGUUAUUCCAUGCAGAUACUUUCCUGCACCCUAAUGUGGAUAUAAUAAAGUAGGAUAUAAUGUAGCGUCAGUAAAAAAAGUAUCAGCCCAUGGCUUUGCAUUGUCCUAGAAGGAUCAUCACUAAUUCGUUUCAGCAAUUAAUCUUGCAAGGGGAUGAGAUGCCAAGCAAAUCUCCAUUAAUAGAACCAAGUACUCCGCUGAAAGAUCUAUUGAUGGAAUUAAGGGCAACCACAUGUUUAGACCCAUCUACCAGCACUGGCAGUGACAAUCCUGCUUGUUAGUCACCUAAACUGUCCUUAUAGAGAAGCCAUCUUUACUAUUAGAUUCUCCACCAGUGUCGAGAAGAUCCUGAAAGCAAGCCCAUCAUACAUUAGACCAGCACCUCUGAAACACCAGUAAAGAACAUUUUGUAAUCAAUAAUGAUGUUUUGUUGGCAGUUAAUGUUGCAAAAUUUGGAGAAGCCUCACAGAGCUCAGAUUACAGACCUGAGUACAAUGCUGCUGCUGCUAUCGAUGGUGAUAGAGACUCAAAUAUGAUGGUGGGUUCAUGCUCCCUUACUGGUAACGACAAGCCAUCUUGGU